GAUGAAGAACGUAGCGAAAUGCGAUAAGUAAUGUGAAUUGCAGAAUUCAGUGAAUCAUCGAAUCUUUGAACGCACCUUGCGCCCUUUGGCCAUUCCGAAGGGCAUGCCUGUUUGAGUAUCAUGAACACCCCAACUCUUCAUGGUUUUCCAUGAUGAGCUUGGACUUUGGGGGUCUUGCUGGCCUGUGGGUCGGCUCCUCUCAAAUGAAUCAGCUUGCCGGUUUUUGGUGGGCAUCACAGGUGUGAUAACUAUCUACGCUUGUGGUUUUCCACCAGGGUAACCUUCAGCAGUGGAGGUUCACUGGAGCUUACAAAUGUCUCUCCUCUGUGAGGACAGCCCUUUGAAUGUUUGAUCUCAAAUCAGGUAGGACUACCCGCUGAACUUAAGCAUAUCAAUAAGCGGAGGA
rnacentral:misc_RNA from 1 species